rnacentral:sRNA from 1 species
UCAUGCCUUUGGACUUCGCUACUGUGAUGCCAAGCGGAUGCCUUGGGGGUGGGACUACUCAGGUUCCUCCAACCUGGGAGAGCUGAAGCUCCUGCUGGAGGAAGCGGUCAUGCUGCGGCGCCUCAAGUCAGACGUCCUUUCCCAGCUGCCUGCCAAGCAGCGCAAGAUAGUGGUGAUUGCCCCAGGACGGAUCAAUGCCAGGACCAGAGCUGCCCUGGAUGCUGCAGCCAAGGAAAUGACCACCAAGGACAAAACUGUGAGUCCAGGGCUGGAGACAGAUUUGGAAGCAGAUGUGUCUAGGUGUUCCUUUCCACGAGGGGCCCUUGAAAAUGACCUGGCAUUCUCUCAGCUUUCCUUUCUGUAAUCUUUUCCCUCUUCCCUAGGCAAGAAGAGCAAGUCCAUUUCAUUCCUCAGCCUACCUAGUCAGUUUUGAAAAAUCUCUUUAUUAAUUUAUGGUUUUAUACUUGUAUAGAUUGCUGUUGAUGGAUGGCCGUAAAGAUAAGCACAGGCAACAGCAGGGUGGUGAUCAAUAUUCCGAAUCCCUCAAAGAAUGUGGAAAUUAUGUCUACUAUAUAUUGAGAAUGCAUCAGUCUAGUAACAGUUGUUAGAAAAUUAGUCCUAACAUGUUUGAUACAUAUGUUAAUCCUUUAACCAUACUGUGUCAUUUGUGUUAGUCAAAAUAACAAGUCGACAUUCAUAUAACAAAAUAGAGUUUUCAAACCCUCCUAACCUUUUAAAUCCCUAUUACUGGCAUUUAUGGUUGGCAGGAAGUUGGCAUCCCCCUUUUACAGAG